ACGAACGCUGGCGGCAUGCCUAACACAUGCAAGUCGAACGAGACCUUCGGGUCUAGUGGCGCACGGGUGCGUAACGCGUGGGAAUCUGCCCUCUGGUACGGAAUAACUCAGGGAAACUUGAGCUAAUACCGUAUAAUGACUUCGGUCCAAAGAUUUAUCGCCUGAGGAUGAGCCCGCGUAGGAUUAGCUAGUUGGUGAGGUAAAAGCUCACCAAGGCGACGAUCCUUAGCUGGUCUGAGAGGAUGAUCAGCCACACUGGGACUGAGACACGGCCCAGACUCCUACGGGAGGCAGCAGUGGGGAAUAUUGGACAAUGGGCGAAAGCCUGAUCCAGCAAUGCCGCGUGAGUGAUGAAGGCCUUAGGGUUGUAAAGCUCUUUUACCCGGGAUGAUAAUGACAGUACCGGGAGAAUAAGCCCCGGCUAACUCCGU
rnacentral:rRNA from 1 species